rnacentral:rRNA from 1 species
UACGUAGGGGGCUAGCGUUGUCCGGAAUCAUUGGGCGUAAAGAGCGCGUAGGCGGCUAGAUAAGUCCGGUGUGAAAGUCACAGGCUCAACCUGUGAAUGCCGCUGGAAACUGUCUGGCUAGAGUCCGGAAGGGGCGAGUGGAAUUCCUGGUGUAGCGGUGAAAUGCGCAGAUAUCAGGAGGAACACCGGUGGCGAAGGCGGUUCUCUGGGCCUUACCUGACGCUGAGGAGCGAAAGCGUGGGGAGCAAACAGG